UGGCUGAGCGACGUCCUGCUGGGCUGGGCGGCGGGGCUGCUGAUCAUGCUGGGGCUGCCGUGGUUCGAGCCCGUGAUCACCCGU
rnacentral:tRNA from 1 species